GAGUGUGUUAGCUCAGUGGUUAGAGCUUAGGUCUUGUGACCAGAAGGUCUCGGGAUCAAAUCCCGCCAGAGGCA
rnacentral:tRNA from 1 species